GUACACGCUGUGACUAGCAUAUCAAUAAGCGGAGGAAAAGAAACUAACAAGGAUUCCCUUAGUAACGGCGAGUGAAGCGGGAAGAGCUCAAAUUUGAAAUCUUCAAGGUUUUACCUUGACGAAUUGUAGUUUAAAGAAGUGUUUUCUGUUGAAGUUUUGGUAAAAGUUCUUUGGAAUAGGACAUCAUAGAGGGUGAGAAUCCCGUAUUUGACCAUUAUUUUCAGCUGUGUGAUACACUUUCAAAGAGUCGGGUUGUUUGGGAAUGCAGUCCAAAAUGGGUGGUAAAUUUCAUCUAAAGCUAAAUAUUGGCGAGAGACCGAUAGCGAACAAGUACCGUGAGGGAAAGAUGAAAAGAACUUUGAAAAGAGAGUUAAACAGUACGUGAAAUUGUCAAAAGGGAAGCGUUUGACACCAGUGUUGUUUUCUCGAAAAUCAAUUAAAAAAAGUUGGAUUUUGUGUUGUAUUGACCUUAACAGCUUUCUUCACUCUUUUCCUGCUUUUUUUAAUGCACUUUUCGUUUAACAAGUCAACAUCAGUUUCUUUUGUUGUAAAAGGGUCAUUGGAAGGUGGCUUUCUUUUCGGAGAAAGUGUUUAUAGCCUUUGGCCUCUGCAAUCGGAGAGACUGAGGUCUGCAGCGUAGACUCUUCGGGGUUAGAUACAUUUGUGCUAAGUUAUAGCUUUUUAUAGACAACUUGUUGACUAUAAUUAGUCUUGUAGCUUACUCGCUUAUGCUAUUUUACCUACGCUUAGGAUGUUGAACUACUGAGACAUAGA
rnacentral:rRNA from 1 species